CCAACGUGGAUACCCUGGAAGAUCACUUUCCCUGGGCUCUGUCCAAGUGGCGUAGGGAGCAUAGGGCUCUGCCCCGUGAUGUACAGUCCCUUUCCACAACGUUGGAGAUGAAGCUGGGCCUCGUGUCUGCGCCUGCAUAUUCCUACAGCUUCCCAGAGUCCUGUGGACAAUGACUGGGGAGACAAACCAUGCAGGAGACAUGC
ensembl:snoRNA SNORA73 Small nucleolar RNA SNORA73 family